rnacentral:rRNA from 1 species
CAGCAGUCGCCACGGUAAUACGAAGGGGGCUAGCGUUGUUCGGAUUUACUGGGCGUAAAGGGCGCGUAGGCGGGCGAAUAAGUCAGGGGUGAAAUCCCAAGGCUCAACCUUGGAACUGCCUUUGAUACUGUUUGUCUUGAGUUCGAGAGAGGUAAGUGGAACUGCGAGUGUAGAGGUGAAAUUCGUAGAUAUUCGCAAGAACACCAGUGGCGAAGGCGGCUUACUGGCUCGAAACUGACGCUGAGGCGCGAAAGCGUGGGGAGCAAACAGGAUUAGAUACCCCCGUAGUCCCUGUCUCUUAUAA